GUCUGUACCAACACUGGAAGAGUAUUCAGUUGUACGGAUUCUGUAAACUAGAUACAUGUACUCCUUUGAUUAGAAAAAAAGAAUUAAAAAAGAAGACUAGCACUGCUUAUUAAAGAAGCUGAUAGGAGAGAGGAAGGGGAGGCCCUGGGGAGGGCAGCCCUGGAGCCAGCAGAGGGCAGGGCCGGGCAGGGCAGGGACGAGUUCAGGCCCCCCACCAACUCUUUGCUAAGGAAAGGAAAGGGCCUAGGGCCAGCCCUGAUGAGUACCCAAAGACCAGGUGGAGGAAGAAUGAACAACCUGUGAGAAGACUAAAGGGGGAGGAAGCUUCCAGAAGGGUGCCAGCCAUACUAAAUGUGACAGAGAAGUCAAGAGAGAACUGAAUGGAACCCUGAUUUAAUCAGUAGAGAUGGCCCACGACAUACAUCCUGGGCCCCACUACCGUGAACUGGCCACCCCGGACUGACUAACUCGCAGGCUGGUCAAGGAGCACAGCAACAACAAACCCCACAUUUUAAAAGCUGGCAUGGAUUUUCAUAGGCCUUAAGAAGUGGCCGUGAACCUUGAAAAUGCACUGCCCACCUUGGCAGAGAGGGAAGACGACAGAGAAGGAAGAACAGGGCAGAAUGCCAUUUGACCAAAGGCGUCCUCAGCAUAGUCUGGGGCUCCUUCAGGAAGAGGGCCCUUUCCAGUUCUGGUGGCCUCCAGGAGUCUCUACACUUCCCUACAGACUUGGCCAGCUUCACUCACUAGGUCAACCCUGAGCUGAAAACAAAAAAAAAGAGAAAUGAAAGCAGAAGAGGGAGCUCACAUUCUUUUCCUGGGUGAUACAGCACUUUUUUUUUUUUUUUUUU
rnacentral:lncRNA from 1 species